rnacentral:tRNA from 1 species
GGCCUCGUAUCUUAUUUGGCUAGAGCGUCGGCUGAACUAAAGCCUUCCCCUUGCUGGCGUGGGUUCGAAUCCCACCGAGGUUG